ACGCUCGACACCUACGGGAGGCAGCAGUGGGGAAUAUUGCACAAUGGGGGAAACCCUGAUGCAGCGACGCCGCGUGGAGGAAGAAGGUCUUCGGAUUGUAAACUCCUGUUGUUGGGGAAAAAGAGGAUGGUACCCAACAAGGAAGUGACGGCUAACUACGAGCCAACAGCCGCGGUAAUCUGAGCGGGCUGGCAAGGC
rnacentral:rRNA from 1 species